rnacentral:rRNA from 1 species
UGGGGAAUAUUGGACAAUGGGCGCCCNCCUGAUCCAGCCAUACCGCGUGGGUGAAGAAGGCCUUCGGGUUGUAAAGCCCUUUUGUUGGGAAAGAAAUCCUAUCGGUUAAUAACCGGUGGGGAUGACGGUACCCAAAGAAUAAGCACCGGCUAACUUCGUGCCAGCAGCCGCGGUAAUACGAAGGGUGCAAGCGUUACUCGGAAUUACUGGGCGUAAAGCGUGCGUAGGUGGUGGUUUAAGUCUGCUGUGAAAGCCCUGGGCUCAACCUGGGAAUUGCAGUGGAUACUGGAUCACUAGAGUGUGGUAGAGGGAUGCAGAAUUUCUGGUGUAGCAGUGAAAUGCGUAGAGAUCAGAAGGAACAUCCGUGGCGAAGGCGGCAUCCUGGGCCAACACUGACACUGAGGCACGAAGGCGUGGGGAGCAAACAGGAUUAGAUACCCUGGUAGUCCACGCCCUAAACGAUGCGAACUGGAUGUUGGGUGCAACUUGGCACCCAGUAUCGAAGCUAACGCGUUAAGUUCGCCGCCUGGGGAGUACGGUCGCAAGACUG